rnacentral:rRNA from 1 species
AUUGAACGCUGGCGGCAGGCCUAACACAUGCAAGUCGAACGAGUGGCGGACGGGUGAGUAAUGUCUGGGAAACUGCCCGAUGGCGGGGGAUAACUACUGGAAACGGUAGCUAAUACCGCAUACCAUCGGAUGUGCCAAGAUGGGAGUAGCUAGGAGGUGGGGUAAAGGCUCACCUAGGCUACGAUCCCUAGCUGGUCUGAGAGGAUGACCCGCCACACUGGAACGUAGACACGGUCCAGACGCCUACGGGAGGCAGCAGUGGGGAAUAUUGCACAAUGGGCGCAAGCCUGAUGCAGCCAUGCAGCGGGUAUGAAGAAGGCCUUCGGGUUGUAAAGUACUUUCAGCGAGGAGGCGUUACUCGCAGAAGAAGCACCGGCUAACUCCGUGCCAGCAGCCGCGGUAAUAC